rnacentral:rRNA from 1 species
GACGAACGCUGGCGGCGUGCCUAAUACAUGCAAGUCGAACGCACUCUCGUUUAGAUUGAAGGAGCUUGCUCCUGAUUGAUAAACAUUUGAGUGAGUGGCGGACGGGUGAGUAACACGUGGGUAACCUGCCCUAAAGUGGGGGAUAACAUUUGGAAACAGAUGCUAAUACCGCAUAAAACCUAACACCGCAUGGUGUAGGGUUGAAAGAUGGUUUCGGCCAUCACUUUAGGAUGGACCCGCGGUGCAUUAGUUAGUUGGUGAGGUAAAGGCUCACCAAGACCGUGGUGCAUAGCCGACCUGAGAGGGUAAUCGGCCACACUGGGACUGAGACAC